rnacentral:tRNA from 2 species
AAACAGUUAGUUUAAUAAAACAUUUGAUUUCGACUCAAAAGCUUGUGGUUAAACCCCGCAACCGUUUA